UACGGAGGGGACUAGCGUUGUUCGGAAUUACUGGGCGUAAAGCGCACGUAGGCGGAUUGUUUAGUCAGGGGUGAAAUCCCGAGGCUCAACCUCGGAACUGCCUUUGAUACUGGCAAUCUCGAGUCCGGAAGAGGUGAGUGGAAUUCCUAGUGUAGAGGUGAAAUUCGUAGAUAUUAGGAAGAACACCAGUGGCGAAGGCGGCUCACUGGUCCGGUACUGACGCUGAGUGAGCGAAAGCUAGGGGAGCAAACGGG
rnacentral:rRNA from 1 species